GAUGAAGAACGCAGCGAAAUGCGAUACGUAAUGUGAAUUGCAAAUUCAGUGAAUCAUCGAGUCUUUGAACGCACAUUGCGCCCCCUGGUAUUCCGGGUGGCAUGCCUGUCCGAGCGUCAUUGCUGCCCUCAAGCACGGCUUGUGUGUUGGGCCCCGUCCUCCGAUCCCGGGGGACGGGCCCGAAAGGCAGCGGCGGCACCGCGUCCGGUCCUCGAGCGUAUGGGGCUUUGUCACCCGCUCUGUAGGCCCGGCCGGCGCUUGCCGAUCAACCCAAAUUUUUAUCCAGGUUGACCUCGGAUCAGGUAGGGAUACCCGCUGAACUUAAGCAUAUCAAUAAGCGGAGGA
rnacentral:misc_RNA from 1 species